rnacentral:rRNA from 1 species
GACGAACGCUGGCGGCGUGCUUAACACAUGCAAGUCGAACGGAAAGGCCUGCUUUCCCUUGUGGAUUGCGGGUACUCGCGUGGCGAACGGGUGAGUAACACGUGAGUGCUCUGCCCCCCCCUUGGGUAUAAGCCUGGGAAACUGGGUCUAAUUCCCGAUAGGACUGCAGGGUGGUGCCUGUGGUGGACAACGAUUUUCUCGUGGUUGGGGAUGAGCUCGCGGCCUAUCAUCUUGUUGGUGGGGUAAUGGCCUACCAAGGCGGCGACGGGUAGCCCGCAUGAGAGGGUGGACGGCCACAUUGGGACUGGGUUACGGCCCAGACUCCGACGGGAGGCAGCAGUUGGGAAUAUUGCACAAUGGGCGGAAGCCUGAUGCACCGACGCCGCGUGGGGGAUGACGGCCUUCGAGUUGUAAACUCCUUUCGACCGCGAGGAAGCCACCUAGUUGGAAGGGUGGUGACGGUAGUGGUAGAAGAAGCACCGGCUAACUACGUG